rnacentral:tRNA from 1 species
GGUCCCGUAGUGUAGCGGUUAUCACGUCGCCCUGUCACGGCGAAGAUCGCGGGGUCGAUUCCCGUCGGGACCG